CCUACGGGUGGCAGCAGUGGGGGAUAUUGCACAAUGGGGGAAACCCUGAUGCAGCGACGCCGCGUGUGGGAAGACGGUCCUCUGGUUUGUAAACCACUGUCCCCAGGGACGAAGAUGACGGUACCUGGGGAGGAAGCUCCGGCUAACUACGUGCCAGCAGCCGCGGUAAUACGUUGGGAGCAAGCGUGGUCCGGAAUUACGGGGUGAACAGGGUGCGUAGUGGGGGAUGCAAGUUGAGUGUCAAAACUACGGGCUCAACUGGUAGUGGCACUGAAAACUGCAGCUCUUGAGUGAAGUAGAGGCAGGCGGAAUUCCUAGUGUAGCGGUGAAAUGCGUAGAUAUUAGGAGGAACACCAGUGGCGAAGGCGGCCUGCUGGGCUUUUACUGACGCUGAGGCUCGAAAGUGUGGGGAGCAAACAGGAUUAGAUACCCCAGUAGUC
rnacentral:rRNA from 1 species